AGACCCCCACCCUAAACCUAGCGCCGCCCCCAAAUCCUCCACCUUCUCCGGUGGCUGCGCCGUCUCCUAACGACCCCAAAUUAACACCACCAGAUCACCUCAACCCCCUCUUCUCUAAUCCACAACCCUUUCAUUUCGAAUCAGAUUAGAACCCUUCGAAUCUGGAUUUGAAUGAACGAACCCUAAAAUCCCAAACCCCAAAAUCGAGUACACGGUUGAAGGAUUGAGGUCGUAAUCGACCUUAGUUGUGUGUUCUCAGUCGAGAACACUCGAUUAAGGUCUAUUCCGGCUUCAAAAUCAAAAGAAUCGGAGGUCUGAGUUCAAGGCAGGGUUCAAUCAGAGGUAUUUCCCAAUCCAUUGAUAUGUGAAGUGAAAGAGCAAGAGCUUUACUUGAUUAAAUGAGAAACUAUGCCUUAUUAGCUUGUAAAUGUAGCCUUGUUUCAUUUUAGAAGAGCAAUCAGACUACUAGUUUCCUUGUCAUACUUAUUUCUUCCUGCUUCAUGUUGAAUGUGUUUCUAACAUUGUUAAGAAUAAUGAACUCCAGCAGAAUAGGGUGAAUGUAGUCAAGGUUUAUUUUGUAUAUGGUUCUCAAAGCUGCUGUUGAACUUGCUGUCGUUAAUAUAGGAAUAUUUAAGAUUGA